UAGGGUCAUGAGAGACCACGCCCAGGCUCCAAAAUUGGUGUCCUGGGUACUGAAACGACAGUCUCGAAAUCAGGUAGCCUAGCAGAGAAACUUCUGAAUCCUUGGCCUUGGACUUCCAUAGCUUCUUGAACUACAAGAAAAUGAAAAUGGUCUUUGCUUAAGCCAUCCAGUCUGUACUAUCAUGUUGCUCCAGUAAACUGACCCACUGGCCACAACGUAAAGGACCUGCUGCUGUUAUGUGACACUAUUGCUGGGGAAGAAGUGAAGGGAUGUCUAUUCACUCCAGGGAGGGGUCCACAACAGACUGAAGUGAGGACUCCACAGAAGUCCGUCUCAGUGAGCUGACCCAGACAGAUUGAAUUAAGAGGAUUUUGAGGAAGUCAUUCCGUAACAGCACAGUGUCCGAAUCUGAGCCCAGAACUUUCAUUUGGAGCUGGGUGUGGCGGCAGACACUGUAAUCCCAGUACUCAGGAUUAUGAG